GGUUCUUGCGUGGAAAUUAAUAUUGAAUUUGCUUGUAAGUCAGUAACAAAUACUUAACAAACAAGCUAACCCCUGUCAUAGACACAUAAUCUGAAAACAGAAUGAACAAAUCAAAAUGGGCCAUAAGCAGAAAAUUUUUCUACCAAAAGAAUAAAUAGAUGCAAAGUUUGUUGAAAUUGCAGAUAAUUGGGGCUCGAAUUUGCUAAAAAUGGAAAUUUUUUCACCAAUAAAAAAGCCAUAUAUGCUCACUAUUUCUAAUGCUGCUCGGAAAACUUGUUGAAGCGAAAUGCUCGAAAAAACAGGGGAUAGUAUGGAAAAGUGAGAAUAUUUUUAACACUUAUCAUCAAACAAACAAUAGUCAAAAUUUUGCCCCUUUCUUUUUCAUCCAUUUUCUUAGCAACCAAACAAAAUUUAAACAUAUAUGCAUUCAUAUAAGAAAUGGCUAAAGUUAUAGACCUGUUGAACAAGGCUAUUGAUUUCGUUAGGCGUCAUAAGGUCAGAGAAGUCGAGAUCAACGACGAUGUUCUGGCCGUGUUCUUUGGCAUUGGUAAGUCUCUGGACCUUCUUCUCCCUCUNNNN
rnacentral:lncRNA from 1 species